ACUGUAGCAGCGGCAGGUGGGAGAACGCUCCAUCCUGGAUCUCUGAGAAGGCGGCAUUCACCAGGGUCCUGCGGGGACACCCAAGAGCUGAAAAGGGAAAUGUAGCCGCUGGAGCGGGAGUGGGACGUGUGGAAUUCUGGAACAUUUCUCGCUAUACAACCACAGCCUGUUGGAGCUGGGAAGCGCUUUGGACCUUUUCCAGUGCAGCCCUUUAUAACAAAUGAGGAAACUGAGGCCCCCCCAAAAGGGGACAGCUAAGUUUGUCAUUGCAUCCACAGUGUGUUGUGUUCUGUCUGCGGUUAAUCCUCCCCACCUUGGUGGUAGGUGAUCUUAAUCCCCUUUCACAGACAAGAAAAGUGAGGCCUGUAGGACCGGAAGAAAAAAAAAUGGCAGAGCAAAGAUUUAAGCCCACUCUGCCCAACUUCCACGUUCACAGUCGCCCUUCUACGCCAGGGGUCUUCCAAGUGUGGCCCUGGGAACCAGGGGCCUUGAGAAUCCUUCAGGGAGUCUUUGAGGUCAAAACAAUUUUCCUAAUAAUGUUAAGCCAUUAUUCUCCCCUUUUAUUUCCAAGAGCUCACAAAAGUGCCCUGGAAUUUUCCAGAGGCUACAAGGAUGUGUCUUCUCUUAAGCCCCAAAUGAAAGAGAUUUGCAAACAUGUAAAGCAAGGACACUCUUCUCUCUAGUUUUCUUUUGGGCUUUGUAAAAUAGUUAUUUUCAUUUAGAAAUGUAUGUGAUUUAUGUCAUAACAUAUAAUGAGUUUAUUAUUGCUAUUAUAAAUUAAUAAUAAUGGAAAAAUUUCCCAGUCAAUAUCAAUAGAUAGAACCCACAUGCAUAAACAUAAGCUCUUUGGGGUCCUCCAUACUUUUUAAGAGUGUCCAGGGGCCCUGAAACCACAAAGUUUGAGAACAGCUGUUCUAUACCACGUUAAUUCCCUGGGGCAGGGGUGACUAUCCUAAGAGCUCAUGGGUACAGGGCACAGGGAGCCUGGCAGUCAGGUGCUGGGGUUCCCAGUCUUGGGUUCUUUGCACAUCAGUCCAGGGAACCGAGACUGCUGCAUUUAAGAUGUUUCCCCAGCUGUCCCCAGCCUCUGCCAGCAGGGGAUUCUCUGGUCUGAGCUUAAGUCUGUGUUCUCCCAGCCAGGGAUGCCCCUGCCCUUUGAUGUCCACUGGCUACUGCCCGUCCAGCUGCCCUGCCGCCCUCCUCAUGCCAGCAUGUGGGGAGGGAAGCAAGGGGGUGGAGAGAGUGGCUGGGGCAGCUGGGCGACCGUCCCCACCCGUCCCUGGCACAGCUCUGCCCAGCACACAAAGGGCAGAGUGAAUCGUGUCCCGUUCCCUGCAGCUGAAGGGCUGGGUGGGGAAAGGGGAGGCACACAGAAAAGAGGGGGCCAGCCAGGAGCUCUCCAUCCGCUAUGGCUCUCAGAGGGGGUAACCUAGAGACAGACAGAAAGGGGGAGUCUGGGUCAUAUUCUUAGCUAGCAAGAGGUGCCCCAGGGGAUGCAGUAGAUGAUGAUCGUGACGACGAUUGGAUUUAACACCUGUAAUGUCCUUGGAUCCUCACAACAGUGAGGUGGACAGGCAGUACCAGGUCCAUGUCCCAGAUGAACAUACUGAAGCCUUAAAAAGCAUAAUGACUCACUCUGGGCCCCAGAGCUGGCCAGGAGAAGCCCUGAGACCUCCACGUACUGAAGCAAUGAACUACCCACCGAUCGACAAGAGCCCCUUGCGCUCUUGUCUUAUCAUUAUAAGAUGGAGUCUUAUCAUUGAAUAUAAUUAAACGUCAGCUGUGAGCAUGCUCCUUGCCUGGUGGCAUGUUCAAAGAAGCCUGGAGAAAGUAUGUCCCUUUCCUUCCCAGGGCCCCAGUGUGGCUGGGAAGAUGGGACCACAGAAAGCACCCAUGUCAUGGUUGACAAGAACACCCGUGUGUGCUACACGGCAGGUGAAGGUGCCGCAGAGAGGAGGAGGAUUUCAGAGGCAGGAGGGCACCGUGGGCUGGGAGCCCACGACCUCCAGCAGCUUGGUGCGAGCAGCAUCUGAAGGUCACUUGUGGAACUUGAAGGCGCCCUUCCCCAGCCCCCAAGCAGCAAAAAUGGGUUUGAGAAGCCAGGAAGCCUGCGAGCUGUCCUGAGGGCUACAGGGAGGGAGACUGAGGACCCGGGAGAGCAGAGGCUUCUCUUGAGGAAAGAGACCCCUUUCCCAGCACCCAGCGAUGAUGGGGAGCCCUACCCACAGUGCCUGCUCAGAACUAGCCCCACGGCUGGGCAACACAGCCCCCCGAGAUGCCCGCAGGGACUCCAAGAUGCCUGCAGUUCUUGGCUCUCCCGCUGGCCACGGCCCAUCUGGCUUGCGCCCAGUACGCGUGAGUCAGCCAAUCAAUCCCAAUG